AUUAUCCAACACAGUUACCAUUUCAUGACAAAAAUCAAAGCACUAAAUUUUUAUUUUCUGUUUUUUGCCUUUAUGAAUCAUCGAUUAAAAUCCCUAUUGCACGCCAAAAGCAAAGUUGAUUCGACCUUGGAGAGUGCAAGGUUUAAAGAAGUGAAAUUAUUUCUUACAACUAACAUCAGUGUUGUUUCUGACCCUAUGCAACUCGUGACCAUGUCUAUUGCAAUAUUAGGCUCUUCCUCGUGUAUUCUGUUAUUUGUUAUUUGUUUCCAUUUGCUAGGAACCUUUACAAGUAAUCAUUACAUGCACUAA